rnacentral:rRNA from 1 species
CCUACGGGAGGCAGCAGUGGGGGAUAUUGGACAAUGGGGGGAACCCUGAUCCAGCGACGCCGCGUGAGUGAAGAAGUAUUUCGGUAUGUAAAGCUCUGUCAGCAGGGAAGAAAGAAAUGACGGUAUCUGACCAAGAAGCUCCGGCUAACUACGUGCCAGCAGCCGCGGUAAUACGUAGGGGGCAAGCGUUAUCCGGAAUUACUGGGUGUAAAGGGAGCGUAGACGGUUAAGUAAGUCUGGAGUGAAAGGCCGGGGCGCAACCCCGGGACUGCGCUGGAAACUAUUGAACUGGAGUGCAGGAGAGGUAAGCGGAAGUCCUAGUGUAGCGGUGAAAUGCGUAGAUAUGAGGAGGAACACCAGGGGCGAAGGCGGCUUACGGGACUGUAACUGACGUUGAGGCGCGAAAGCGUGGGGAGCAAACAGGAGUAGAUACCCCAGUAGUC